GCCUGGGUGGCUUAGUCGGUUAAGCGUCCGACUUUGGCUCAGAUCAUGAUCUCACAGUCCGUGAGUUCGAGCCCCACAUCGGGCU
rnacentral:tRNA from 1 species